rnacentral:ncRNA from 1 species
CAAAAGCUUGGUCCUGACUUUACUAUCAGCUGUGAUUAAAUUUAUACAUGCAAGUAUCCGCACCCCUGUGAGAAUGCCCUACUGUUCCCUCUAUCCGGAGAACAAGGAGCGGGUAUCAGGCACAGUUCCAACACUAGCCCAUGACACCUUGCUAAGCCACACCCCCAAGGGAUUUCAGCAGUAAUAGACAUUAAGCCAUAAGUGUAAACUUGACUUAGUUAAGAUCAAAUGAGGGCCGGUAAAACUCGUGCCAGCCACCGCGGUUAUACGAGGGGCCCAAGUUGAUAGAUCACCGGCGUAAAGAGUGGUUAAUAAAUAUUACAAACUAAAGCCGAACAUCUUCAAAGCCGUUAUACGUUAUUGAAGCCAGGAAGACCCCCCACGAAAGUGGCUUUAAACUAUAUGACCCCACGAAAGCUAGGGCCCAAACUGGGAUUAGAUACCCCACUAUGCCUAGCCGUAAACACAAGCAACAUUUUACUACACCAUUGCUCGCCUGGGAACUACAAGCGCAAGCUUAAAACCCAAAGGACUUGGCGGUGCUUUAGACCCCCCUAGAGGAGCCUGUCCUAGAACCGAUGAUCCCCGUUCAACCUCACCCUCUCUUGCAUAAUCCCGCCUAUAUACCGCCGUCGUCAGCCUACCCUGUGAAGGACUAACAGUAGGCAAAAUUGGUACAACCUAAAACGUCAGGUCGAGGUGUAGCGUAUGAGAGGGGAAGAGAUGGGCUACAUUCACUGAAUCAGUGAACUACGGAAGAUGCAUUGAAAUAAUCAUCAUAAAGGAGGAUUUAGCAGUAAGAGGAAAAAUAGAGUGUUCCCCUGAAACCGGCCCUGAAGCGCGCACACACCGCCCGUCACUCUCCCCAAGCUAAUAAUUUACAAUAUAAAUAAAAAUAACACUCCUGCAACAAAGGGGAGGCAAGUCGUAACAUGGUAAGUGUACCGGAAGGUGUACUUGGAAAAAA